rnacentral:tRNA from 1 species
GCAGCUGUGGCCGAGUGGUUAAGGCGAUGGACUUGAAAUCCGUGGGGUCUCCCGCGUGAGUUCGAAUCCUGCCGGCUGCA